UACGUAGGGGGCAAGCGUUGUCCGGAAUCAUUGGGCGUAAAGAGCGCGUAGGCGGUCCGGUAAGUCGGUUGUGAAAGUCGGGGGCUCAACCCUCGGAGGCCGACCGAUGCUGUCGGGCUAGAGUCCGGAAGAGGCGAGUGGAAUUCCUGGUGUAGCGGUGAAAUGCGCAGAUAUCAGGAGGAACACCAAUGGCGAAGGCAGCUCGCUGGGACGGUACUGACGCUGAGGCGCGAAAGCGUGGGGAGCAAACAGG
rnacentral:rRNA from 1 species